rnacentral:lncRNA from 1 species
CUCCAUGGGAUCCCAUGUUAAAAGACCUUGAUGACGAAUCCUGUUCUUCCAUUUGGCUUCUUGCUUCUGAUUGUUUUCAUUCCUGCCUUGUUCCUAGCCUCCUAUUCUACUGUGCCAAUGACGGUAGGCUCACAGGUCAAGGGCCUACCCAGUAAGACUCCAUUCCAAGAGCCGCUGUGUGAAGACAUAGCAUGCUUCUCCUCCAGAAGAACCAUCUUAGAAGCAGACAGAAGCCCUCACCAGACAACUGAACCUGCUGGCACUUUGAUCUUGGACUUAGCAGUCUCCAGAACUGUGAGAAAGAAAUUUCUUUUCUUUAUAAAUUACCCAGUGUCAGGUAUUUUGUUACAGCAGCACAAACAGAUAAAGACACAUCCAUUUUAUGGCCUAGAAAGACGUGUCCAGCUUAAUCAACAGCAGUGACCCAGAGGCACCGGAGAUGCUUGCACAGGAAAUACAGAUAUGCACAUUUAUAUGAAUGAAAAAUAUGCAAAGGAUGCACUGAUGUGAUCAUAUAUUUUUCAAACUGUGAAUAAAUCAAAUAUG